UAAAACGUAGGAGGCGAGCGUUAUCCGGAUUCACUGGGCGUAAAGCGCGUGCAGGUGGUUCGGUAAGUUGGGCGUGAAAUCUCCCGGCUCAACUGGGAGAGGUCGUUCAAUACUACCGGACUUGAGAGCAGAAGAGGAAGAUGGAAUUCCCGGUGUAGUGGUGAAAUGCGUAGAUAUCGGGAGGAACACCAGUGGCGAAGGCGAUCUUCUGGUCUGUUUCUGACACUCAGACGCGACAGCUAGGGUAGUAAACGGGAUUAGAGACCCCGGUAAUCCUAGCCGUAAACGAUGUGAACUUGGCGUUGGUGGGUUAAACUCCAUCAGUGCCGAAGCAAACGCGAUAAGUUCACCGCCUGGGGACUACGGCCGCAAGGUUAAAACUUAAAUGAAUUGACGG
rnacentral:rRNA from 1 species